rnacentral:sRNA from 1 species
GGCUCCUGGCCAGGUCUACAAGUCCCGGAAGAUUGGCCGUAUCCUGGCCGUUGACCGCCUAUGCCUUGGUGUGCGUCCUGGCGAGUGCUUCGGGCUCCUGGGCGUCAACGGUGCGGGCAAGACCAGCACCUUCAAGAUGCUGACCGGCGAUGAGAGCACGACGGGGGGCGAGGCCUUCGUCAAUGGACACAGGUGCGGCGGGAGCCCUGGGUGGGCGGGGCCGCCGCAUCCUCACGCACUGACAGCCGCCGUGUCCCCAGCGUGCUGAAGGAGCUGCUCCAGGUGCAGCAGAGCCUCGGCUACUGCCCGCAGUGCGACGCGCUGUUCGACGAGCUCACGGCCCGGGAGCACCUGCAGCUGUACACGCGGCUGCGUGGGAUCUCCUGGAAGGACGAGGCCAGGGUGAGGAUCUGUGGGGUGGGGCAGGGAGCCAGCACGCUGGGCGGCCCUGCCUCUGCUGACACCUGCGUUCCCCGGCCAGGUGGUGAAGUGGGCUCUGGAGAAGCUGGAGCUGACCAAGUACGCAGACAAGCCGGCCGGCACCUACAGCGGCGGCAACAAGCGGAAGCUCUCCACGGCCAUCGCCCUCAUUGGGUACCCAGCCUUCAUCUUCCUGGACGAGCCCACCACAGGCAUGGACCCCAAGGCCCGGCGCUUCCUCUGGAACCUCAUCCUCGACCUCAUCAAGACAGGGCGUUCGGUGGUGCUGACAUCACACAGGUGAGGCGCCCCCACCCCCCCUUUGUGCCCCCACCCCACAGCACCUCUUCUGGUGCCAGCCUGUGCCUGUCCCGCAGCAUGGAGGAGUGCGAGGCGCUGUGCACGCGGCUAGCCAUCAUGGUGAACGGUCGCC